rnacentral:lncRNA from 1 species
AAACACAAAAAAAUAUGAAUAUAUUGAUAUAUAAACAUUGUAUAAUUUUUAUGCAAAAAUGUCUUCUCUAAACAAGUAACAAGUCAUAUAGUUAAAUUUUUAAUACUUGUUACUAUAUAAUACUUAACUAGAUGACGACAAAGAUUUAUAAAUCAAGACAUAUACGAAAUAAGUAUAUUUAUAACUAGAUUGUACAUAUAUAUUUUUUGCCUUGAUCAAUAAAUUUGAAAUUUCAUAAAAAAAAAAUAGAAUAAGUAGUAAGUAUAAAAAGAGUAAUGAAUAUUUGUGUCUAAUCCUAAAUGCAAGUAA